CCUUCCUGUUUAACAAAAACAUGUCUUUUUGAUUAUAAUAUUAAGUCUGGCCUGCCCACUGAAAUUUUCAAGGGCCGCAGUAUACUGACUGUGCAAAGGUAGCAUAAUCAUUUGCCUUUUAAUUAAAGGCUAGAAUGAAUGGUUGAACGAAAUACAAACUGUCUCGUUAUUAAAGUUUAAUAAUUUAGCUUUCUAGUUAAAAGGCUGGAAUGUUGUUAAAGGACGAGAAGACCCUAUAGAACUUUAUAAUGAUUGAUUUAUUAGAUUAUAGAAUAAAAUUAUCAUUAAAUUAUAAUUUAUUUUGUUGGGGUGACAUAAAGAUUAAAUUAACUCUUUUUAAUAUUAUACAUUGAUUAAUGAAUAUUUGAUCCAUUUUUAGUGAUUAUUAGAAUAAGUUACCUUAGGGAUAACAGCGUAAUUUUAUUGGAGAGUUCAUAUCGAUAAUAAAGUUUGCGACCUCGAUGUUGAAUUAAAGAAAUUUUAGAGCGCAGAAGUUUUAAGAAACUAGGUCC
rnacentral:rRNA from 1 species